GGGUUGUGAGGUUAAGCGACUAAGCGUACACGGUGGAUGCCCUGGCAGUCAGAGGCGAUGAAGGACGUGCUAAUCUGCGAUAAGCGUCGGUAAGGUGAUAUGAACCGUUAUAACCGGCGAUUUCCGAAUGGGGAAACCCAGUGUGUUUCGACACACUAUCAUUAACUGAAUCCAUAGGUUAAUGAGGCGAACCGGGGGAACUGAAACA
rnacentral:rRNA from 1 species